GAUGAACGCUGGCGGCGUGCCUAAUACAUGCAAGUCGAGCGAACGGACGAGAAGCUUGCUUUUCUGAUGUUAGCGGCGGACGGGUGGGUCAUACGUGGAUAACCUACCUCUAAGACUGGACUAACUUCGGGAAACCGGAGCUAAUACCGGAUAAUCCUUUGAACCGCAUGGUUCAAGAGUGAUAGACGGUCUUGCUGUCACUUAUAGAUGGAUCCGCGCUGCAUUAGCGAGUUGGUAAGGUAACGGCUUGCCAAGGCAACGAUGCAUAGCCGACGUGAGAGGGUGAUCGCCCACAGUGGGGGUGAGAGGCGGUCCAGGGACCUAGAGAAGGCACAGACACGGAAGGGUCCGCAAAGGGCGGAAGCCUGACGGAGCAGCGCCGGGUGGGUGAUGAAGGUCUGCGGAUCGUAAGACUCUGUUAUUAGGGAAGAACAUAUGUGUAAAUAACUGAGCACAGCGUGACGGUACUGGAUAAGAAAGCCACGGCUAACUACGUG
rnacentral:rRNA from 1 species